UACGUAUGGGGCAAGCGUUAUCCGGAUUUACUGGGUGUAAAGGGAGCGUAGGCGGUAUGGCAAGUCAGAAGUGAAAGCCUGGGGCUCAACCCCGGAAUUGCUUUUGAAACUGUCAAACUAGAGUGUCGGAGGGGUAAGCGGAAUUCCUAGUGUAGCGGUGAAAUGCGUAGAUAUUAGGAGGAACACCGGUGGCGAAGGCGGCUUACUGGACGACCACUGACGCUGAGGCUCGAAAGCGUGGGGAGCAAACAGG
rnacentral:rRNA from 1 species